AGGAUGAACGCUAGCUACAGGCUUAACACAUGCAAGUCGAGGGGAAACGGCAAUGAAUGCUUGCAUUUAUUGGACGUCGACCGGCGCACGGGUGAGUAUCGCGUAUCCAACCUGCCUAUUACUUGAGAAUACCCCGUUGAAAGGCGGUCUAAUACUCAAUACUUUCAUAAAUUGGCAUCAUGCUAUGAAAAAAGAUUUAUCGGUAAUAGAUGGGGAUGCGUCUGAUUAGUUAGUUGGUGAGGUAACGGCUCACCAAGGCGACGAUCAGUAGGGGUUCUGAGAGGAAGGUCCCCCACAUUGGAACUGAGACACGGUCCAAACUCCUACGGGAGGCAGCAGUGAGGAAUAUUGGUCAAUGGGCGUAAGCCUGAACCAGCCAAGUAGCGUGUAGGAAUACAGCCCUAUGGGUUUUAAACUACUUUUGUUAGGGAAUAAAGUGUGCCACGUGCUGGCAUAUUGCAUGUACCUAUCGAAUAAGGACCGGCUAAUUCCGUGCCAGCAGCCGCGGUAAUACGGAAGGUCCAGGCGUUAUCCGGAUUUAUUGGGUUUAAAGGGAGUGUAGGCUGUUAGAUAAGCGUGUUGUGAAAUAUUCUAGCUUAACUAGAAUCGUGCAGCGCGAACUGUUUAACUUGAGUUCGUUCAACGUAGGCGGAAUUUAUGGUGUAGCGGUGAAAUGCUUAGAUAUCAUAAAGAACUCCGAUUGCGAAGGCAGCUUACGGGGUCGUAACUGACGCUAAAGCUCGAAGGUGCGGGUAUCGAACAGGAUUAGAUACCCUGGUAGUCCGCACAGUAAACUAUGGAUGCCCGCUUUUGGUAUUAAAUAUAUCAGAGGCUAAGUGAAAACGUUAAGCAUCCCACCUGGGGAGUACGCCGGCAACGGUGAAACUCAAAGGAAUUGACGGGGGCCCGCACAAGCGGAGGACAUGUGGUUUAAUUCGAUGAUACGCGAGGAACCCUUACC
rnacentral:rRNA from 1 species